rnacentral:rRNA from 1 species
GAUGAACGCUGGCGGCGUGCCUAAUACAUGCAAGUCGAGCGAACGGACGAGAAGCUUGCUUCUCUGAUGUUAGCGGCGGACGGGUGAGUAACACGUGGAUAACCUACCUAUAAGACUGGGAUAACUUCGGGAAACCGGAGCUAAUACCGGAUAAUAUUUUGAACCGCAUGGUUCAAAAGUGAAAGACGGUCUUGCUGUCACUUAUAGAUGGAUCCGCGCUGCAUUAGCUAGUUGGUAAGGUAACGGCUUACCAAGGCAACGAUGCAUAGUCGACCUGAGAGGGUGAUCGGCCACACUGGAACUGAGACACGGUCCAGACUCCUACGGGAGGCAGCAGUAGGGAAUCUUCCGCAAUGGGCGAAAGCCUGACGGAGCAACGCCGCGUGAGUGAUGAAGGUCUUCGGAUCGUAAAACUCUGUUAUUAGGGAAGAACAUAUGUGUAAGUAACUGUGCACAUCUUGACGGUACCUAAUCAGAAAGCCACGGCUAACUACGUGCCAGCAGCCGCGGUAAUACGUAGGUGGCAAGCGUUAUCCGGAAUUAUUGGGCGUAAAGCGCGCGUAGGCGGUUUUUUAAGUCUGAUGUGAAAGCCCACGGCUCAACCGUGGAGGGUCAUUGGAAACUGGAAAACUUGAGUGCAGAAGAGGAAAGUGGAAUUCCAUGUGUAGCGGUGAAAUGCGCAGAGAUGUGGAGGAACACCAGUGGCGAAGGCGACUUUCUGGUCUGUAACUGACGCUGAUGUGCGAAAGCGUGGGGAUCAAACAGGAUUAGAUACCCUGGUAGUCCACGCCGUAAACGAUGAGUGCUAAGUGUUAGGGGGUUUCCGCCCCUUAGUGCUGCAGCUAACGCAUUAAGCACUCCGCCUGGGGAGUACGACCGCAAGGUUGAAACUCAAAGGAAUUGACGGGGACCCGCACAAGCGGUGGAGCAUGUGGUUUAAUUCGAAGCAACGCGAAGAACCUUACCAAAUCUUGACAUCCUUUGACAACUCUAGAGAUAGAGCCUUCCCCUUCGGGGGGGCAAAGUGACAGGUGGUGCAUGGUUGUCGUCAGCUCGUGUCGUGAGAUGUUGGGUUAAGUCCCGCAACGAGCGCAACCCUUAAGCUUAGUUGCCAUCAUUAAGUUGGGCACUCUAAGUUGACUGCCGGUGACAAACCGGAGGAAGGUGGGGAUGACGUCAAAUCAUCAUGCCCCUUAUGAUUUGGGCUACACACGUGCUACAAUGGACAAUACAAAGGGCAGCGAAACCGCGAGGUCAAGCAAAUCCCAUAAAGUUGUUCUCAGUUCGGAUUGUAGUCUGCAACUCGACUACAUGAAGCUGGAAUCGCUAGUAAUCGUAGAUCAGCAUGCUACGGUGAAUACGUUCCCGGGUCU